rnacentral:lncRNA from 1 species
AAUAAAAUAUUUUAAACAUAAUAUCAGAGACUAUACAAACAUGUAUAACUCUUUUUCUAGUUUUUAAAAGUUAUGCUCUCUUUCUCUUAAGUUGAUAUCUGUAUUUUAUUUCACUAAAUAAACCAAAAAAGCUAGUGAGAUCAUAACUUACCUCAUCAUUAUACCUCAUAGUUGAAAGUAUUACCUUUGUUUCUUGGUUUCCUGUUGAUCUAAUCACCAAUUAAGACCCCAAAUAUUAAUAGAGAGCUAGCCACCACUAAGUCAAACAAUACUAUUAGAAGAAGAUUAUGUCCAUAUAAUUCUAUCAGGAACACAGAAAUGGCAAAGUGCCACAUUUGGUCUCCUUGCAAGGCAAUGAAGCAAAUCAUGUCUUAAUUAUUGAACCUAAAAGAUGGAACAAACUUAAAAUCCAGAAAGAUGCAUUUCUGCUAAAGGACAUGUAACAUGCAGGAUGUAAAAUCAGAAUAUCAAAAUUAUACUUUUAUGCAGUAUAGCUAUAAUGUACUUUUAAAAUGCAAUGUAGUUAUACCCUAAAAAGCUGGACAGAUUAUUUUUAAAACCUUAAAAAGAGCCAAGAACCCCAUGAGAAAAUAUCAGAUAAACUCUUCUGAGAAGAUGAGAGCCCGAAGAAGGAAGCCCAGGUCACCCUAAGGUAUCUGCUGAUUCAAAAGAAUGCUAUAAAAUGCAAGUGCAGUUUGGGUGAUAUCAGAAAGUCAGGUUAUAGAAACCCAUGCCCACCAAAGAUGAGACAAAGACAAAAUAGUUUCUGCUUUAAACUGAGAUCCCAUAUAACUCUACCCUAAAGUCCAGCGAUAGAGGCAGAGAAAGGAGCAAGGGGUUACACUGCAAUCCAUGCUUUAAAGGAAGUAACCUGGAGUGUAAUGGAGUAAUGUGGAAACAACAGCAACUCAAGCUGGGAAGCCAGAACAGCAGCAUACAGUGGAUGUCACCCUUGAGCAAAAUCUGAGUACCAAGAGGAAGUUGAACUCGUAAGGAGGUUCGAGGGUGGAGAUAG